rnacentral:rRNA from 1 species
GGAGUCCGACUAAGCCAUGCGAGUCUUGGUAGGCUUUGCCUACCGGCGGACGGCUCAGUAACACGUGGACAACCUACCCUCGGGUGGGGGAUAACCUCGGGAAACUGAGGCUAAUACCCCAUAGGUCUCGGAUACUGGAAGGUUCUGAGGCCGAAAGCUCCGGCGCCCGAGGAUGGGUCUGCGGCCUAUCAGGUAGUUGGUGGUGUAAAGGACCACCAAGCCUGCGACGGGUACGGGCCCUGAGAGGGGUAGCCCGGAGAUGGACUCUGAGACACGAGUCCAGGCCCUACGGGGCGCAGCAGGCGCGAAAACUCCGCAAUGCUCGAAAGAGCGACGGGGGGACUCCGAGUGCCUACGCUUUGCGUAGGCUUUUCCCGAGCCUACAAAGCUCGGGGAAUAAGGGCUGGGUAAGACGGGUGCCAGCCGCCGCGGUAAUACCCGCAGCUCGAGUGGUGGCCACUUUUAUUGGGCCUAAAGCGUCCGUAGCCGGUCUGGUAAAUGCCUGGGUAAAUCGUAGGGCUUAACCCUACGGCUCCCAGGUAGACUGCCAGACUUGGGACCGGAGGAGGGAGAGGGUACUCCAGGGGUAGGGGUGAAAUCAGCAAGGUGAGUUGCUGAGGUAACUUGCCUUGCAAGUCACAAUCCUGUAAUCCCUGGAGGACCACCGGUGGCGAAGGCGCUCUCCUAGGACGGGUCCGACGGUGAGGGACGAAAGCCAGGGGAGCAAACCGGAUUAGAUACCCGGGUAGUCCUGGCCGUAAACGAUGUGGACUUGGUAUUGGGAUGGCUACGAGCUGUCCCAGUGUCGUAGGGAAGCCGUUAAGUCCACCGCCUGGGGAGUACGGUCGCAAGGCUGAAACUUAAAGGAAUUGGCGGGGGAGCACUGCAACGGGAGGAGCGUGCGGUU